rnacentral:rRNA from 1 species
GACGAACGCUGGCGGCGCGCCUAACACAUGCAAGUCGAGCGAUGAAAGUUGUUCAGAUCCUUCGGGUGACGAACUUCUGGAUUAGCGGCGAACGGGUGAGUAACGCGUGAGGAACCUGCCUCUCACAACGGGAUAGCCUCGGGAAACCGGGAUUAAUACCGUAUGACACUAUCAGAUGGCAUCAUCAGAUAGUUAAAGUGCUAGCGGUGAGAGAUGGCCUCGCGUCUGAUUAGUUAGUUGGUGGGUAACGGCCUACCAAGACGACGAUCAGUAACCGGCCUGAGAGGGUGAACGGUCACAUUGGAACUGAGACACGGUCCAAACUCCUACGGGAGGCAGCAGUGGGGAAUCUUGCACAAUGGGGGGAACCCUGAUGCAGCGACGCCGCGUGAGCGAUGAAGGUUUUCGAAUCGUAAAGCUCUGUCCUAUGGGAAGAUAAUGACGGUACCAUAGGAGGAAGCCCCGGCUAACUACGUGCCAGCAGCCGCGGUAAU